CUCUGAUCUGACCAAGAUUUAAAAACGUCUGUCAGGUUUUUCAUGUUGUUUUCAGGUGUGGCCACCGAGGGGUUAACGCUCCGAGAAAUGUUAAGUUUUAUAAUGAGUUACUGCAACAACACCACCCCAAAUCUAGUUUGGGGAAAUACAGUGUAAAUAUGAGGCACACAGGUGAGCACAUCACUGAGGGAAAGGGAGCAAGGACCAUCAAUUUGCAACACCUUCCAUUGCUCAUUAAUGAUCUUAAAUAAGCAGCAACCCACAGAAAACAAAGACACAGGAUAAAGACAUAGCGCCACACAGAGGCCGGAGGUGCAUUUGGACGCUACAGUAGUUUCUUGUCUUUCCUGGAGUAUUUUUGCUCCUGUAUUUGUACUUUUACUGAAGUACUGAGUACUUCCACUGUGUCUUUAUACACUUCCUUGAGGACGGGUCAAACGCAGACGUCUCUGUGGGGACAAUAAAAUGGACCUGAUCUUUAGUAAACGUGUCAUUUUAAAUCUGUGUUUGUUUUUCAGGUGUUUGGACAAAAUGGAGUCGAGUGAGAAUCCUGCAAACACAAAUCCCUCUGCUCCAAG